AUGGCUUCUCGUUUCCGAUCAUUCUCACAACCCGCAUUUUCCCUAAUCAAAUCCACCAUAUCAAAACCCAAAUCCUCCUCACCUUUUCUCCUCAGAACCCGCACUCCCGUCACCGUCAGGUCCGUCGCGGAGCUUGGUUGCGUGCAGUCGCUGCUUCCGUUAUACUCGGCGGUUUCAUCAGCGCGCCUCACUUCUUGCCUCGGAAUCGAUUCGACGAGUUCGAGAUCUUUGUCUCAGGAAAUGGGAUGCCCUUUUGUUAAUUAUUUCGAAGUUUCUUUGAAAGAUCAUUGUAACGGGCAUUGA
rnacentral:lncRNA from 1 species